CAGCUCUCGCCAGCCCUGCCAUAUGAAUGGCACACAUCACAUUUACUGCACUGGGCACGCCGGUUCAUGGCUGCUCACCACCUGCAUUAGGAAGCCACCCAUUCAGUAAGGGGUGCCUCGUAUACAGCUUAUUAAAAGAAAUCCAAUAAAUCAAAGAGCCUUGUAUCCAGAUGUCAAAACUUUGGAAACUGUGCUUUGUGAAAGUUAUCUGCCAGGGUGAAACAAUGCCGGAUUGUUUCAGGGCAUGUCAACACACAAAGACAUGGGAACUAAGCUCUGUGUCACAUUAACAGUGUUAAACCGACUUCUGAAGUUGGCUCACACACUGGGUCAGCUGAGAGCUCAAACUGAGGAAUCCAAGAUCUGUCACCACCUAUCCACAGAAGGAUGUGAAAGAAAUGCUGUUCAUUUCUGAGCACUGAAAUGUAAAACAGCAACUAGCAAAGCCUAAAUUUCUAUUUCUACUGCUUCUGUUAAAAUCUUUCCUCUAAGUGCAAAUAAAAAAUACCACAUACAAACUCAUCCUCUGUUUUUGGAAAGUGGCUGUAGCUGGAAGGAUGCCUACCUGAUAUAGGCAAGAUCCCUUACUUCAUUUAGUGGGGUUACG